GGGCCUGUAGCUCAGUUGGUUAGAGCGCACCCCUGAUAAGGGUGAGGUCAGAGGUUCGAAUCCUCUCAGGCCCACCA
rnacentral:tRNA from 7 species